rnacentral:rRNA from 1 species
CCUACGGGAGGCCGCAGUAGGGAAUCUUCCGCAAUGGACGAAAGUCUGACGGAGCAACGCCGCGUGAACGAUGAAGGCCUUCGGGUCGUAAAGUUCUGUUGUUAGGGAAGAACAAGUGCUAGUUAAAUAAGCUGGCACCUUGACGGUACCUAACCAGAAAGCCACGGCUAACUACGUGCCAGCAGCCGCGGUAAUACGUAGGUGGCAAGCGUUGUCCGGAAUUAUUGGGCGUAAAGCGCGCGCAGGCGGUUUCUUAAGUCUAAUGUGAAGGCCCCCGGCUCAACCGGGGAGGGUCAUUGGAAACUGGGAAACUUGAGUGCAGAAGAGGAAAGUGGAAUUCCAAGUGUAGCGGUGAAAUGCGUAGAGAUUUGGAGGAACACCAGUGGCGAAGGCGACUUUCUGGUCUGUAACUGACGCUGAGGCGCGAAAGCGUGGGGAGCAAACAGGAUUAGAUACCCUGGUAGUCCACGCUGUAAACGAUGAGUGCUAAGUGUUAGAGGGUUCCCGCCUUUAGUGCUGAAGUUAACGCAUUAAGCACUCCGCCUGGGGAGUACGGUCGCAGACUGAAACUCAAAGGAUUGACGG